CAAGCGGUGGAGCAUGUGGUUUAAUUCGACGCAACGCGCAGAACCUUACCAGCCCUUGACAUGUCCCGUAUGGGUUUCAGAGAUGAGAUCCUUCAGUUCGGCUGGCGGGAAUACAGGUGCUGCAUGGCUGUCGUCAGCUCGUGUCGUGAGAUGUUGGGUUAAGUCCCGCAACGAGCGCAACCCCCGCCUUUAGUUGCCAUCAUUUAGUUGGGCACUCUAAAGGGACUGCCGGUGAUAAGCCGCGAGGAAGGUGGGGAUGACGUCAAGUCCUCAUGGCCCUUACGGGCUGGGCUACACACGUGCUACAAUGGCGGUGACAGAGGGAUGCAAAGGGGCGACCCUUCGCAAAUCUCAAAAAGCCGUCUCAGUUCGGAUUGGGCUCUGCAACUCGAGCCCAUGAAGUUGGAAUCGCUAGUAAUCGCAGAUCAGCACGCUGCGGUGAAUACGUUCCCGGGCCUUGUACACACC
rnacentral:rRNA from 1 species